UACGGAGGGGGCGAGCGUUAUUCGGAAUUAUUGGGCGUAAAGGGCGCGUAGACGGCCCUGCAAGUCAAAGGUGAAAUCCCUCGGCUCAACUGAGGAACUGCCUUUGAAACUGCAGGGCUUGAGUCCGGGAGGGGGUAGCGGAAUUCCCAGUGUAGCGGUGAAAUGCGUAGAUAUUGGGAGGAACACCAGUGGCGAAGGCGGCUACCUGGACCGGAACUGACGCUGAUGCGCGAAAGCGUGGGUAGCAAACAGG
rnacentral:rRNA from 1 species